rnacentral:rRNA from 1 species
GACGAACGCUGGCGGCGUGCUUAACACAUGCAAGUCGAACGGAAAGGCCCUGCGUUUGUGGGGUGCUCGAGUGGCGAACGGGUGAGUAACACGUGAGUAACCUGCCCUUGACUUUGGGAUAACUUCAGGAAAAUGGGGCUAAUACCGGAUAGGAGCUCCUGCUGCACGGUGGGGGUUGGAAAGUUUCGGCGGUGUGGGAUGGACUCGCGGCUUAUCAGCUUGUUGGUGGGGUAGUGGCUUACCAAGGCUUUGACGGGUAGGCCGCCUGAGAGGGUGACCGGCCUCAUUGGUACUGCGAUACGGCCCAGACUCCUACGGUAGGCAGCAGUGGGGAAUAUUGCACAAUGGGCGGAAGCCUGUUGCAGCAACGCCGCGUGCGGGAUGACGGCCUUCUGGUUGUAAACCGCUUUCGCCUGUGACGAAGCGUGAGUGACGGUAAUGGGUAAAGAAGCACCGGCUAACUACGUG